ensembl:lncRNA
AUGCUGGCCAUGCUGAAGUGAAUGGUGCUGAGACUUAAUGAAACAUGGUCACAGUUCCAUCUUUCUGUCAUUAGAUGCAUGUCAGUGCGUCUGACUGCUUGGGGAAAUGCUCUGCAUGCAGUAGAUGUGCUUUCCUAUGGAUACUACCCCAACUGGGAGGGGCAAGUAGUCCACAGAAGAUAUUAUUAUCCACAAUUACGGAUAGAAAGAAGUAAAGGAUGGUUAUUAAUAAGAAGCUCUCAUCUGCAAAGAAAAUUUGGUUUACCUGUGAGUAAAAGCCACUUGGAUAUAAACCUAGCUGCCACAUCACUAACUUAAGGCAGAAAUGUUACUCUAGAACUGGUAGAAAAUGAUCACUCGCAGAUUCUCAGGUACGGCUGAUGACGUUUCAUGCCCAGCAUAUUUUGUGCUCCAAAUUUCAGGUGACCAAGUGAAUAUCCUCUCAAUAUAAAGACUAAAAUCAAUGACACAAAACGUGUAUAAUUCACUAUACAAGGUUGUUAUAAUAUGCAGUCCUCUGUUUCACAGACCAAGAUUCAUAAUAGUUAGAAGCUAAGUCUCUUGGUGUUUCCAGUAUUGAUUUUUUUCCCCCCCCAUUUCUUUAAUUCUACUACAGUAAUCAUAGAAUCAUAGAAUGUCUUGAGCUGGGAGGGACCCAUGAGGAUCACUGAGUCCAACUCCUGACUCCACAUGUGACCACCCAAAAUCCAAACCCAAUGUCUGAGAAUGGCGUCCAGAAUGGUGGCAGCUCAGAGCCAUUCCCACUGCCCUGGGCAGCCUGUUCCAGGGCCCCACUGCCCUCUGGUGAAGAGCCUGUCCCUAACUCCCACCUGACCCUCCCCUGACACAGCUCCAUGCCAUUAUAGCAUGGAGAUUUCUGGAGAUGUGUGUCUUUAUGGGAAGGGAGAGAGGAGAAUAAGAUUUUGAAAUUAGUGUUCAGGCUAGGUAGUGACUUGCUGUUGUUAGGUGAUCUUCCCAUGCCCUUUUUACAUUCCUACGUGAAACUGAAAGGAUAUGUAUGAUGUUAAUACCAUUCCACUACCACUGACGCUUGCAGUUGGAAACAUUAGGCCUGAGGGCUUAGUUCAGCUAGUUCCUAAGCAUUUUCUUUUUCUUUAGGCUUUUUGUUUUUUCAUUGAAAAUAGUAGUUGUUGCUUAAAACUCACUCAAAACCAAGGGUUCUUCACCUUGCAAAUCACUAUCAGUACUGAGGGGCAUGAGGCUGGUUACAUAUCGAGCUCUGUAGCCAUCUCUGCUGUCCUCUAGGCUCUGGUGGUCCUCCUUGGGAACCCUAUUCUGUGCACCCGUUCAGAUCUGCCUCUUCUGCUUUCAAAGAACUGCUUCUGACUCACCCCUGGCACCAUCUGAGCACUUCUUCCUGUCUCUGGUUUCCAUUAUCCCUGGGAUGGCAUUUAUUGAUCAGAAAUGGGCUACAGAAGCAGAGCUGUGGAGAUCACAGAAUGGGGAACCUGCUGCAAGGAGCAGAGUGGGGAGCAGGCUGGGCAUGGAAAUGGAAACUUGCCUCUCCCCUCAACCUUCUUGUGCAUUUGGGCUGGUGGUUUGGGCUGGUGCCAAGGCUCAGCUCUAGGUCCGUUUUCCGUGUUCCUUACAAGGAUGUGGGUUGGAGGGACACCCAGGAAACAUUAGCAGUUGUCUGGAAGGAAGGUCCUAGCUGACAGCCGUGUUGUGGUGUGGGGCUUGGUGCUGUAUCUCAAAACAUCCCAUGUUACCAUCAGUCUGUGCAACCCCUCUUCUUCCAGAGGGUGGAAGAAGCGGUACCUACAAUUCAGUCACAGCAGGCCCUAAGGGGAAUGACUCAGGAGAACCAAGGAACAAACACCACGUACACCAUAUUUCUUUGGGUUUUGGGCAGACUCUUACCAUUUUGUAGAAUCAUAGAAUCAUGGAGUGGCCUGGAUUGAAAAGGACCAUAAUGAUCAUCUAGUUUCAACCCCCCUGCCAUGGGUGGGGUCACCAACUGCCAGACCAGGCUACCCAGAGCCACAUCCAGCCUGCACACUCUUAUAGGGGGGAAACAGCAGGAAACCAAGCGAUGCAAGGCAAUGCCUUUUUCACAGAGGUGCAGACUUCAGUUCUCACAUAACUAUAGCUGUCACUCUUCUUUCUGCGCUCACCUCCCUGCCUGCUUACCUUAUGAUGCAAAAUGUGCCUCGGGAUAUUUGUGGUGAUGUUGGUGAAAAUAUUACAAAAACAGAUAAUUGGAGAAUCAAGGCUUGGCAAACUGUUGUUCGAUCUGGCAAUAUAGCAAAGUGUGUCGUUUGCCAAGAGCAGUCUCAUCUGAUAGACUUUUGGGACCAAGAGCUGGCAAAUGAGUAAGCCUCACAUGAUUACCUUUAUUUUUGCUUUAUGAGCAAACAAAAUUCAGAGGUGGAGGGUAUAAACAAAGAAAGUGAAACUGGGAGAGUUCAUGUGUUUACGGCCUAAGAGCCCACACCUUCCACUGAGGCUUGUAAGAGGCUUAUGUGCUGUGCACAUAAGGUUACUUUGGGAGGGAGGAACUGGGUAGCACAGCUGCAUCUGCCUCCCAUACAGAAAGAAUGCUGCUGGAUCGUGAUGCAGCAUAGUAAUGUGCAUUAACAGACCUUCAGCUCCACAGACUUUACUCUCUUCCUUCCCUGUGGAUGGGUGUGUCUAACUGACAGCCGCCCAGCUUUGUAUUCUUUGGGCUUCCUGUAUAUGACUGUACGUGCAACAUAUUCAGUACAAAAAUAGCAAAAGAGAAUCAAGAAGUAGUAAAUCACCUGGUAAAAGCUGGAGGUCAUCAGACCAUGUCUUACAGAAGGUGCACAGGCUUUGUCCCCCACAAAGCAGGUCCCAGCUUGUUUUGUUUUCUGCAGCGUACAAAGGCCAUCUACUGGGCCUUAACACAACUGCUGUUAGGUGUGAUGUCUUGUGUAACAUCACUGAGCAUGGCACUGGGUGAUUGGGAUGAAUGUGCAAGUCCUUAAUUGAAAUUACUCAAUCACAGAAUCAUUAAGGUUGGAAAAGACCGCUAAGAUCAUCUUGUCCAACUGUCAACCCAUUGCCACCACGCCCACUAGCUGUGGUACACAGACCUUCUAUCCACUGAGCAGUUUAACUGCACUGGCAGAAAUAAAAACUUUUCUGUUUCUUUCAGAAGACUACAAAAACUGGUGCUGCACUUGACCUGAUUGGAUUAUUUGUAACUUAAGUGGCAGGUGUUGCGCCUUAAAUGGCAGUUUCAGUCAGCACCUUUUGUUUCCCUCCUUCAAAAGACAUAGACUUUCAGUGGUUUUGAUUUAAAAAGAAAAAAAAAGAAAAAAAAAAAGAAAGAAAAGGAAAAAAAGAAAAAAAAAGAAAAAGAAAAAAAGAACCAACUGUAAGCUCCAGUGCUUUGCUUUUCUGUGCUGGCACAUCUGAUGGUGAGGUGGCAAGGUGCUUCCUGUUUACCUACAGAAAUCUCAUCUUCCAAACCAAACCUUGAUCUCUGGGGACCCCUUCUUAAGCCAUGGUUCGGCCUUGAUCUGAGAGUGGAACACAGCAUGUUCAGAUUUCUCUAGCAUUGCAGCUGGUGGCUGUGCAGUACUUCUCACAGCUGUGCUUGGCCUCCUUUGGCUGUCAAUCACAUGGGCAUUGUUCUGGGGCAGAGUCCAUGGUAGAGUGCACGAUGGGUGGAAGAUAGAUGUGCCACAAGCAUAACAAAUGAUCUGUUUUAUCAACGUGACAGGGUUAAUGUGUAUCUGAUAAAAAAUUUGGUGUUAACUGGAACUGUGCAAGGGUGAGAGAUGAAGAAGCUUGACUUCCUUCCAUUAACUGCACAUCAUCUGGUGCGUUAUGUGCACGCUGAGAACUGGACUUCCACUCUUCCUUUUCAACUGUAGUCUGAAUUUUUAACCAUGUUGAAGACUCUCUGCUUCUGCAAACCUCUUGGUGCAGACAUUGCUAAAUGUAAUUUUUCAGACAACUGCGCUGCAGGAGCAGAUGCAUAGUAUCCAAACUAUAAUGAAAUAAGUGCAGCAGAAGAAGGGCACAGGCAUUCUCCUCAAAGUUCAAAUGACACUUUGGUCCUUACCUCCUUUUUAUCUUCUUUUCCACAAACCUGAGCACGAAGCAUAAUCAUGUUCUUGUGCUAGUGUUGGGAGGAAAGCUUGGCCUGGCGCAGUUGUGCACAGCUACUCAUGAACAGAAUGUUUUUAUUCAGUCUGUGAUCAGUCACUGCUCAGCAUUUGUUAUUUCCAUGGACUCAUCAUGGACAAAAGGAAUAUGCAUUAACUUAGCUAACCGGUCAUCACACCAGGAGGAAAAAAGAGAACACUCUCACACGUUAUUUGUGUGACUUCUUAAUAAAAGGAAAACAACCUUUUCCAUUUUCUUGCCUGUUCCCCACAAGAAGCAAACAAAUGAAAGUAUUUACAUGAUUUUAGUUAAUACAAGGAUUGUGCGUUCAUGGUGUUCAAGGAACUCUGCAAGGAGAUGAACUGGAAUGAGAAACAGAAUCCUGGUAAGGGUGUUCUUAGAACCUCAGAGAAAAUUUCUCCCCCGGGCAUAUUUAGUAUGUUUAUAUUUAGCAUAUUUAUACUUUGGAGGAAUUAAUUUGGCUCAGUAUCGUCUUCCUCAUGGAUUCCUUUUAUAUGUUUAUGACCUGAGAAUGCCCUCCCUUCUCCUCCCCUUUGCCUCUGUUUAAACCACAACAAAAGGUCAGACUGGAAGCAGAAUCCUGGGCAGAGGAAGAACAGGAAAGCUGUCUGUGUUUCCUUUUAUUCCUCCAUUUAAGAGACGAAUAUCCAGUGCAAUUACCCACCCAUCUGCAUGACACAGGCUGUGUUUUGAAUUCCUGUCUGUAGUGGGGGAGCAUCCACAGGUUCUUCUAAACAAAAGGAAAGCUUUCCCGGGAGAGAAAGGAAAGGUAUUCUGGAUGGAAGAUAAACCUGAGAAUACACACAAAAUGGCUGUUUGGUGAAGUCUGCCGUAUUUAUUUAUUUACCUUAAUAGAGGCAUAUUCUAUAAAUUCAUUUUCUAUAGAGAACUUCCUUCUCUGGUAUUUAUUUGUAGAAGCAGAAUGGUUUAGUGAGGCAUAUAUGAGGACAUCUUGGCUUUCAGGUGAAGCUGGGAUGGAAGGAUCAUUAGAAGGUGAGUUAGAUGCUGUCUCCUGAGCAUUACGUUGAGGAACACUGUCAUAAAUCUUGUUGACAGGCAAGAGCUGAGGUGGGCUAGACAUGGAACAGUAAAGUGAGGAGCUUUCAUCUGUAUCUGGAGUUGUCCCAUCAGCGUGGGAUGGAAGAGCUGAUAGCCUUCUGACCUGCAAAAGACAGAACAGGGUACAGCUCUGUGCACAACUGGCUAUUGCCUGUGCUCCUGCUAGAUAGAUAAGAUGUGGGUAGGAGUCUGUUGGCCUUGCUGUAUCCCUUUAAAACUGCUUUUGAAGAUGGGUACAUUGGACUCACCUGAUCACUGGAUUUUCUUUUGAUAUCUGAAAUAAGCUAGAAAUCAUACUUGUGUCUCUAGUCUUUCUCCCCUUCCCAAACUCAGUCAUGUCUUUCCUUGCACAAUUUCAACUUAAGGCAAAACUGAUUUAUCCUCUUGAGAGCUCUUCCAUGCCACUCAUUCACGCUCUUCUUUCCAAGCCUAUUAAAUCCUCAUUUUCACCUCCAAACCCCAAAGUAUCUUUCUGACUGCCCUUAUUCUCCUAUUUCCAGAUCUCUGACCCAUUACCAUUUUUUUUUUCUUUUUAAAAAAUUAUUCUCCAAAUAAAUCUCUCUUCUUCUCCCAAAUCUGCAAAUCCAUCUCUCUCUAAAGAAAUCCUCUUUUGGCAUCCAUUUUUUUCCAGCCACUUAGAACUCACUGCUUUCAGUUUUCUUUCCCCCACCUUGUCUUUCAGGAGCACUGCAGUCCAUUUGGUGCCCUUUGAUCCUUACCACAGCUUUUCUUGUGAGUGACAGCUGCCAGCUCCUGUCACAUCUUUUGCAUUCUGCCUUCUGCUCAUCUAAUUUCUUUGGAACCAAUUGCAAGAAUUGUGUGAAUUCAUGCCAGCCACAUAGCAAAGCAUUCUUCUCAAUCAUUGUACUGACCCUGUGGGUGACUUUUUGUCCUGUACAGUCAGAACUAGGUCAACAGAGGUGCUUCAGUUGCCUAAACUCCUGCUGGAAUGGUUUUACAAAUUAAUGCAUUUUAAAAGGAGUUUAGAUGCUUAAAGUACCUUUGUGGCAAAAAUGCUGAGUUCUUUCCCUUCAGCUCAGGCAAGGUGAUACCUCAUGCCAGGGAAGCCAUUCUUUCCAGGCAGCACAAUUAAACCUGUCUCCAAUCCUACUCCACAUUUUAAACUAUGCAAAAAUUUAUUUUCACUACGUGGUUCUACUGGACAUUAUCAGGUUUCAGUGGUGGCAGAAUUUAAGCAUACCCGGCUCUCUUGUCUCUGUGGUGCUGAUGGAGUUCUCUUACGCUUUCCUAGGAAGAAGAAAAAAAAAGGGAUGUUUCAAUCAAUCAGCAUUGAGAAGAUGCCUUUCUGCUCACAGAAGCGUAUAGAUUACCAAAGCAGCCCUUGCUUUAUUGAGUACUCCCCAAAGAAUAAAAAUCUGUCUCCAAACUAUAUUUAGGGAUUGUUUCACUGCCAAAAGCACCAAGAGACAGGAUAGAAGCAUGAAGGUGGUAAUUAACCACAUAGCUGAUUUUGGACUGUUACCAUGCUACCAGAAAAACAUGCUGGGAGAAGCCAUCAUCCACCGUGAAUGAGUUUUCUUGUAUAUGGAAUCCACUUGUUUAAUAGGGCUCUUUUUGAGACUCAAUGAGACUCACUUUAAACAAUAACAGAAUCACAAAAUCACAGAGUUGUAGGAGUUGGAAAGGACCUCUAGAAAUCAUCGAGUCCAACCUCUUCUGCUAAAGGAGUUCCCUGCAGCAGGUCACACAGGAAAGUGUCCAGGUCGGUUUUGAAUAUCUCCAGAGAAGGAGACUCCACAACAUCUCUGGGCAGCCUGCUCCAAUGCUCUGCCACCCUCACAAUAAAGAAGUUCUUCCUCAUGUACGUAUGGAACUUCCUGUGUUCCAGUUUGUGCCUAUUUCUGUUGUCCUGUCACUGGGCUCUGCUGAAGGAGACUGGCCACAUCCACUUGACUCCUGCCCUUUAGAUAUUUAUCAACAGUGAUGAGAUCCCUCUCAGUCUUCUCCAGACGGAAUAGUCUCUCAGCCUUUCUUCAUAAGGGAGAUGCUCCAGGCCCCUAAUACUCUUUCUGGCCUUCCACUGGACUCUCUCAAGAAGAUCCCUGUCUUUCUUGAGUGAGGAGCCCAGAACUGGAUGCA